rnacentral:rRNA from 1 species
CCUACGGGGGGCAGCAGUGGGGAAUAUUGGACAAUGGGCGAAAGCCUGAUCCAGCCAUGCCGCGUGUGUGAAGAAGGCCUUCGGGUUGUAAAGCACUUUCAGUGGGGAAGAAAGCCUUGGGGCUAAUACCCUCGAGGAAGGACAUCACCCACAGAAGAAGCACCGGCUAACUCCGUGCCAGCAGCCGCGGUAAUACGGAGGGUGCGAGCGUUAAUCGGAAUUACUGGGCGUAAAGCGCGCGUAGGCGGUCUGAUAAGCCGGUUGUGAAAGCCCCGGGCUCAACCUGGGAACGGCAUCCGGAACUGUCAGGCUAGAGUGCAGGAGAGGAAGGUAGAAUUCCAGGUGUAGCGGUGAAAUGCGUAGAGAUCGGGAGGAAUACCAGUGGCGAAGGCGGCCUUCUGGACUGACACUGACGCUGAGGUGCGAAAGCGUGGGUAGCAAACAGGAUUAGAUACCCUAGUAGUC